CCUACGGGUGGCAGCAGUCGAGAAUCAUUCACAAUGGGGGAAACCCUGAUGGUGCGACGCCGCGUUGGGGAAUGAAGGUCUUCGGAUUGUAAACCCCUGUCAUGUGGGAGCAAAUUGAACAGAUAGUACCCCAAGAGGAAGAGACUGCUAACUCUGGGGCAGCAGGCUCGGUACUACAGAGGUCUCAAGCGUUGUUCGUAAUCACUUGGCGUAAAGGGUGCGUAGUCUGUUUCGUAAAUCGUGUGGGAAAGGGUCGGGCUCAACCCGCGGAGGGCAGAUGAUACUGCGGGACUAGAGUAAUGGAGGGGGAAGCGGAAUGCGUGGUGUAGCAGUGAAAUGCGUAGAUAUCGAGAGGAACACUCGUGGCGAAGGCGGGUUCCUGGACAUUAACUGACGCUGAGGCACGAAGGCCAGGGGAGCGAAAGGGAUUAGAUACCCCAGUAGUC
rnacentral:rRNA from 1 species